rnacentral:rRNA from 1 species
AACCCCUGUGAACAUACCUAUUUGUUGCCUCGGCGGUGCCUGUUCCGACAGCCCGCCAGAGGACCCCAAACCCUGAUUACAUUUAAGAAGUCUUCUGAGUAAACCGAUUAAAUAAAUCAAAACUUUCAACAACGGAUCUCUUGGUUCUGGCAUCGAUGAAGAACGCAGCGAAAUGCGAUAAGUAAUGUGAAUUGCAGAAUUCAGUGAAUCAUCGAAUCUUUGAACGCACAUUGCGCCCGCUAGUAUUCUGGCGGGCAUGCCUGUCCGAGCGUCAUUUCAACCCUCAAGCCCCCGGGCUUGGUGUUGGGGAUCGGCGAGCCUCCGCGCCCGCCGUCCCCUAAAUCUAGUGGCGGUCUCGCUGUAGCUUCCUCUGCGUAGUAGCACACCUCGCACUGGGAAACAGCGCGGCCACGCCGUUAAACCCCCAACUUCUGAACGUUUGACCUCGGAUCAGGUAGGAAUACCCGCUGAACUUAAGCAUAUCAAUAGGCGGA